UGUGGGAGCGAGCUUGCUCGCGAUAGCGAUGGUUCAGCCAGCGAUAAUGUUGACUGAUAGACCGCUAUCGCGAGCAGGUUCGCUCCCACA
rnacentral:misc_RNA from 1 species